AAGAAAAAAGAAAAAGCAAAACGGUGCGUUUUGGAGUCUUGAGUCAUGACCAUGUGAGCUUCUCCUCCGCAGACUUCUGUUUAACCGCCUUGGAUCACCGAUUCCCAAACACGAACUCACUCUAAGAACAUGCCCUGAGUCUAAUUCCCUCAUCAGAUUGCACUGAAACUCCCUCAUUUGGCCGAAUCGAGGAACUCAAUUAUUAAACCCUAAGUUCUAGUUAUCAUGGAUUCAAGCAAAAUAGCGCCGAUUCAAGAAAAAUGUCACUCGUGAACAUCAGAACAAGCUAUAACGUGUACGAUUCAGCAAAAAAACGUGUUGAUUUGCAAACAUGGUUUAUACCAACUCUGGAUCAGUAGCUUUGUUAAUUACCUUUCGCUACUACACAAAGGUCUAAGCAUGAUUUACAUGAAAUCUUGAAGCUCAAGGUGGUACUUUGGUCUGAAUGGCAUUGAAUGUUUUGUUGUUUCAACUCUCGCUUUGAAGUCAGCUUAAUAUGAUUUGUCUGGCUCAUGCUUUUCAGGAUGAACUGUACUCGUAUUUGGAUUAACAUUGUGAAAUGGUUAACUGUUUUCGAAUCUGCGUAGCGUAAUUAUUACAACUUGAAUUCCCUCCGUAUCCUUGGUUACAUGAACUGUUUGGAUAUUAUGUACAUGUGUAUGUUUGUAUAGUCAUGGAUUUUGCAAGUUGUAUGUGUAGUGUACAGGGCUGUUUUGGUAUAGCUUGUAUGUACAGGUCUGUUACCUCUGUCAGUGCUUGGUUAAAUGCUAGAAUCGGUUCCUGAAAUUGCUAGAAACCAGGGGUAUUAGCUUGACGUUUUGUUGGUGGUUUGCAUAUGGUUUGUGAAUGAAUGGAACAUAUGUAUGUUGAAUUGAAUUUGGGCAGUGGUUAAUUGUGACUUUCAGCUUUGGACAAAUCAUGAUGCACGCCAUGUAUGUAUGAAUGGGUGAUGCUCUGAUUAUUGCGGGUUUGGUACAUGACAGCAAAACAACAAAUUGUGAAAACAUGACAUGAGAUCACUUUGGUAUUCAUGGAUAUUCUUGCAAGAUAAAGUCAAAUUAUGAAAACACGAAGAAGCUUAAGAUUCAUGAAGCAAACUUGGGGGAAUUUGAGGUGGGAUAGGUCAGAGAGUAGUGUGUUGACUUGGGUCAACUGUUUGACCAGAAAGGCAACAGUUGACUAAAGUAAAAUAUAGGUCAAAAAUGUAAAUUCUUGUAAUGAUGUAUUGUAUUUGGAUUUUGUGACGGAGAUUGGACUUUUGUAAUAUCUUGUAAUGGAAUUCCAAAUGUAUUUUUUCUUUCA